AUGUCAGGUCCACGACUACGCCAACUGUCACGCUGGGGGGACUGUAGGCAGGUGGCAGAGCAGUUGGAGGAGGCUGUGAAGUACUACACCCUAAAGGAGAUUCAGAAGCACAACCAUAGCAACAGCACCUGGCUGAUCCUGCACCACAAGGUGUACGAUUUGACCAAAUUCCUGGAAGAGCAUCCUGGUGGGGAAGAAGUCUUAAGGUAAUAAGCUGGAGGUGACACUACUGAGAACUUUGAGGAUGUCGGGCACUCUACAGAUGCCAGGGAAAUGUCCAAAACAUACAUCAUUGGGGAGCUCCAUCCAGAUGACAGACCAAAGUUAAACAAGCCUCCGGAAACUCUUAUCACUACUGUUGAUUCUAGUUCCAGUUGGUGGACCAACUGGGUGAUCCCUGCCAUCUCUGCAGUGGCCGUCGCCUUCAUGUAUCACCUAUACAUGGCAGAAGACUGAACACCUCCUCAGAAGCCAGCACAGGAAAAGCCUGCUUUGGACACAGGAGAAAAAAAGCCAAUGCUAACCACUUCAACUGACGGAAACCUUCACUUGAAAACAAUGAUUUUAAUAUAUCUCUUUCUCUUUCUUCUGACAUUAGAAACAAAACAAAAAGAACUGUACUUUCUGCGCUCACAUUUUUCGAGUGUGCCUUUUUAUUCAUCUACUUUAUUUUGAUGUUUCCUUAAUAUGUAAUUUACUUAUUGUAAGCAUGAUCUUUUAAAAAUAUAUCUGGCUUUUAAAGUAAAA